GGUGCUGAUGAAGCUGAAUGGCAAAGAAACCCUCACAGGAGGCAUUCGUGAUGCAUGCUGUCGCACGGGGCCUGUGGGAGGCGGGGGCUGUAGGGAAGCUAGGGUGCUGAAGUCUGAGUUGGGACCUGUCAGUGCUGAGGACGGAGGGGAAGGGCCUGACCACGUGACUGGUUUAGUCUUGCUGCAGAAUUCAAAUCUUAGAGCACAGGCAGUCCUGGGUGCUCCGAGACAGGAGGUGAAAGAACGCUGAGACUCCGGGUGGUGGAAGAGGGUGAAGCAGAGCUUUCCCAGGUACACCAAUCUGAGAAACCACAGUGGAAAAGAAUAUGAAAAAGAAUGCAUACUUUGCCGUACAGCAGUAACACAACACUGUAAUUCUGCUAUACUUCAAAGAAGAAGAAGAAAAAAAAGAUGGAAAGAUGGCUCUAGCCAAGGACUUAUUCUAAAAAGAGCACAACCCUGUCACGUCUGAGCAACAAUAAAGCCCAGAGCUGAGAUUUAUGGAAAGUUCUGGACACAAUAAAAAGGGCAAGAACAACAGUGGCAGCGCUGUGAAGCAGAGAGCGUGGCUUUGGGUGAGAACAGAAGAACUGGGGCUCGGCUUCUCUCUUGCUUCUGUUAUUUCUACCAAGCACGAGGAUCUGCAAGCUGGAAAGACUGAGACUCAGGAAGAUCUGAGGGCCAAAAUGAUGAAGCGACAAAGGAUGAGCCAGUGUGAGCUUCCGGCCUUGUUUUCAGAGUGAUUUCAGUAAACUAGGCCAGUGUAUUUCUUGAUCUUUAACAUCCCCUUUAUUAGGGAAGAAAACAUAGCUUGUUAUCUACCUCCAUGUUCUUCUAUUUCUAAACUCUUACAGCGUCUCUUUUUCAUUCUCUACGUUAUUUUUACAUACUCUAAUGAUUAGCAACAUGUCUUAUACUCUUUGAUGGGUUCAUGAAUGUUUAUUAGUUCACCAGGUUAUUUACUAAAUGAGAAACAAAUCAUUAAGAA